rnacentral:lncRNA from 1 species
CUUUUGAGGGGUGUCAAAGCAAAACACGUUUAAAGGCUGUGGCUCCAACACGAAGAGGAGGUGUCUCUGAUGGAAGAGUGGCAGGCAGUGGGGAACUGACGAUGCGCAGGCAACUUUCCAGAAACACAGCUAGCCCAACUCGCCGAUCGUGUAAACUGGAUUGAGAAACGCUCUCAGUGAUGCUGUAAUUGAUUUUUUUUUAUGCCGAAGUAAUGUAUACUCUAGCAUUCUGGUGUUUUUAUAUUUAUGUAAUAAUUUCUUAAAACCAUUCAAGACAGAACUAUUUAAUUUUUUGGAAGAAAGUUGGAAAGGUCUCUCCUCCCCAGGACCGUGGCUGGGAAGAGUUAGGGGCCCCGCCCGUUCCGAACGCUGCUGGCUGAGGGCGCAGUGGUUCAGCUUCCAGAAGCACCCCUCCCCACCCCACCCCGGGCUGGCAGCGUGCACAGGCAGCUCGCACCUAUAGGCUCUUCCCGAGGGGGCCUCAGAACCCAGCCCCUCUCCCUUCUGAACAGGGAGAACUUCACCCAGAGGGAUGGAGCCAGGACCCCCUUCCUCACUCCCCUCCCUGCUGCUGUUGCAACGUGGCCGGCCAUUCCGGACUCUCGGGUGGGGGGAACAGAACGUGGAGGAUGCUGACGACCUUCACUUCUCGGCCAGCCUGACCUUCGAAUACCUUUGUAAAAAGCAUCUCCAAGAACUAUGCCUGUGAAUACUCCCAAGGAGAAAGAGACCACUUGCCUGAAACGUCACUGACCCCAGGCACCAGUGUCUGCCGAAUAAAUGAAUCGGCGCCUGUAUCUCGCUGGCUUCA